rnacentral:rRNA from 1 species
AUGUGGUUGAAAAACCAGCCACACCUUCACAGCCUCCUGGGCAUCCUUGUUCUCUUCAUCCUUGUUUCCACAGCAUCUGCUGCAAACCGUGGGUCUGACAUUCUCGACAAGGGCCGCAACAUCACCGACGGCGACACCCUUGUUUCGGCUGAUGGGUCAUUCACCCUGGGCUUCUUCCCUCCCGGGGUGCUUGCCAAGAGAUACCUCGGUAUACGGUUCUCCGUGUCCGAGGACGCCAUCUGUUGGGUAGCCAACAGAGACCGUCCUCUCACUGACGCUCGUGGGGCGCUGGUGAUUAGUGACACGGGAAGCCUUUUCUUGCUCGAUAGCUUCGGCCAGGUUGUGUGGUCUUCAAACACGACAGGCGCUGCCUCCACGACGCUGCAACUGCAUAAUUCAGGCAACCUUGUCCUGAGCGAUGGGAGUGCCAAUGGUGCUGCCAUAUGGCAGUCAUUUGACCACCCAUCAAACACCUUGCUUCCCAGCAUGAAGAUUGGCAAGAACCUAUGGACCAGGGAAGAGUGGUACCUUACGUCGUGCGCUUCGGCCAAUGACCCUGCCACAGGGAAGUUUCGCUACAUUACUGACGGAGAAGGUGUGCCACAAAACAUACUCUUGGAUGGUGACAAAAUGAUCUACCGGUCAGGACCAUGGAAUGGCCUACGGUUCAGCGGUGUCACGGAGAUGACCUCGUAUUCUGACAAGUUUGCUUACCAGUUGACAAGAAGCUCAAGUGAGGUAACCUACAGCUAUGUUUCCAAGGCUGAAGCCUCCUUCUCGCGUCUACUUCUGACUGAUGACGGAGUAUACCAACGCCUGGUAUGGGACCCAACCAGCCGGUUGUGGAAGAUCUUCUUCCAAGCGCCGAGGGACAUCUGCGACCACUAUGGCAGGUGUGGGGCAUUUGGUCUGUGCAACGCCAAUGCUCCAUCAACGUCGUUCUGCAGCUGUGUACAGGGGUUCAGCCCGACAUCUCCAGUGCAGUGGAAGAUGAGGGACACCUCCAACGGUUGCCGCCGAAAGAUGGUACUGGACUGUGGCAAUGGAAUGUCCAGUACCACGGACGGUUUCGUGGUGAUAGACGGAGUGAAGCUUCCCAACACGCACAAUGUAUCGGUGAAUGCUAGCAUCACGUUGGAGGAGUGCAGGGCGAGGUGCCUAGCCAACUGCUCUUGUCUGGCGUAUGCGCCGUUGGAUCUCAAAGGAGGAGGCGCUGGAACUGGCUGCAUCAUCUGGACAGAGGACCUCAUGGAUCUCCGGUAUGUAGAUGGAGGGCAAAUCCUUUAUCUCAGAUCCACCAAGUCAGAAUUAGAUGGGCCAUCUGUAUCCAUGUUCCCAACCGGUAUCGUUAUCGGUGUAUCCGUAGCCUUGAUCAUCAUUCUGGUUCUCCUUGCCUUCUGGGUUAUUAUCACCAGGAGACGACAUCGCAUGCAAAGGGUAUUAGUACACAAUGGUCUGAGGGUGACAGGGGGUUCUGAUAGCCAUUCUCCGAAUCCCGCUUCGCCCAUGACGUCCGUCCCUACAAUUGAUCUCCAUACUAUAAUAGAGGCUACAGGAAGUUUCUCCGAUGCAAAUAAAGUUGUUGAAGAAGGAUUUAGUGUUGUCUACAAGGGGCAACUACCUGGUGGUACAAUGGUUGCUGUAAAGAGGCUCAAACAGUCUCUUCUUACUGAUAAAGGCAGGCAGCAUUUCUCAAGGGAAGUGGAAGUGAUGUCAACGCUCACCCAUGUCAAUCUUGCUAAGCUCCUCUACUAUUGCCGGGAAGGAGAUGAGUGGAUACUAGUCUACGAGUGGAUGGAGAAAAAAAGUUUGAAUCUUUACAUAUUUGGAGAAGAAGGACUCCGUUCCUCACUGAGUUGGGCGCAAAGACGGGAAAUAAUUCGAGGUGUGGCCAUAGGUGUUGAAUUUCUUCAUGGCAGAGGAUUCAUUCACAGGGAUCUAAAACCUGCGAACAUACUUGUCAGUGAUACGUGGGUUCCAAAGAUAGCAGACUUUGCCACCGCAAAGCUAUUUAUUGACGAGCAGACAGAUUUGACAUUAGUACAGACACGGGGAUAUGUGGCUCCAGAGUAUAUAGGGGAAGGGGCCCUGACGUACAAGUGUGAUGUAUAUAGCUUCGGAGUCGUUUUGCUGGAGACAGUCAGUGGCAAAAGGAGAACAAGCAAUGCAAUGUUCCUUCCUGAUGCCUGGGAAUUGUGGAAUCAAUGUAAGAGCGGGGAGCUUCUUGAUGUGGCGGUGGGUGGUGAACCUGAAGGUGAAGUCUUGUCGGGGCUACUCAGAUGCAUCCAGAUUGGCCUUCUCUGCGUGCAGUAUUUGCCAGAGCAUAGACCUUCAAUGUCUGAAGUUGUGGCAAUGCUAAACAACAGCUCACAGCUCCCCAGGCCACUGAAACCCACACCAAACAGCAGACCAGGACCGGGCGCACAGCCAGGACCGAGCCGGACCUUCUUACUGUGGCUAUUUUGCUCAUGUGGACGUGACCCCACGAGCCCAGGCAUGGAAGCUACGGUGUAG